GUGGAACUGACUGUGGGUCCUUGCCUAAAUGUCUGGUCUGGUGACAACCCACAGUGUUCCUGUUGAGGAACUGACUGUGUCUCCCCUCCCCCACCCUCAAGUGCCCACAGGAUACUAGUCACUGGUAGAAGCUGUCAGCACUAGGACUGGAGGCCAGUGCCCAAGCUUCGAAUGCACUCCAAGGCUUGGCUGAACAAGGAGGAGUAAAGGUCAAAGCAAGAAGGGCCUAGCAGCUGGCAGGGCAAAGGGGUCUACCUUGGGUGCAGGACUUGUAGCCACUGUGCUCAGACAGCAUAGAACCCUCUCAGCACCUCCUUCUCUACAACCUUCCUUCCCCAACAUCACAAGAGCCUUGAGUUGUGAUUGGCUGGCAGAAGCCUUAGCAGGAGGAUGGACCUCGAGUGAAGCAGAAGGGCUGUGAGUGGGUGGCCAGCGCAGGAACAUUAGUGACUCUUGGCUCACUGAGGCUGGGCCACGUUCAUGGCUCUCGGGUAGGACCCAGCGAAACGGCCAGAAUGAAUUCUAUGGACAGGCACAUCCAGCAGACCAAUGACCGUCUGCAGUGCAUCAAGCAGCACUUACAGAACCCCGCCAACUUCCACAAUGCUGCUACAGAGCUGCUGGAUUGGUGUGGAGACCCUCGAGCCUUUCAGCGGCCCUUUGAGCAGAGCCUCAUGGGCUGCCUGACGGUGAGUCCUUACCUCCCCCACACAGCACCCUGGGAAGCGUGGACGUGGACCAGAAGUCCUGUCCACAUACCUUUCUGCAGGCCCCAAAGCUGUUGCUGGGGCAACAGCUGCCAUUGCUACAAGCUGACCCUGCAGGGGAACACACCCCGACUGCCAGCUCUGAUAUGGAGACAGUCUACAUGGGAUGUGUAGCUUCCUCACACUUGGUGAGAAGCACACUAUGGGGACCAGUGUUCCCUCAGAGGCAGGGGAGCUCAAAGGACUCUGCCUUCCUUCUCCACAGCCAUUUUAUUCCUUUAUCUGCUGAGCAUUUGUUGAACUCCACUCUGGUCGUCUGUCUGUCAACUCCAGAGCAUGUAUAGAGCCCCUGUUACAUUCAUCCAUCUGGACAAUAAACCUUGAUUGAUCCCUC
rnacentral:lncRNA from 1 species